rnacentral:lncRNA from 1 species
CGUUUGGAUUGUCCUGAUGCCAACACUUGGUCUGGGAUCAGAAGUUGGACCAGAAGAAUCAUGGCUUGAACAUGGUGUAGACAGCUAGAAGCUCCCUUGGAGGGGAUGGUCUGCUGGUGGAGUCAAUCAUUGAGAGUCACCGGAUCACAAAAGUCCUGAUAUAAUCCGUGACAUAACCCACUGUCGGGUCCAUAACUCCAAGAGGUUGUUGUGUGGAGGAAAAUCCAUAGAGAAGUGAAGCCAUUCUCAAAUGAUGUGUAAAGCAGUGUGCCCAGCUCUGGGUGCAACCGUGUACGUGAGGCCAUUUGCUCCAGAUUGCCUUUACCUGGUAUCAUUGCAGUCUAUCCGUGCUGUUGCAGGCAUGUUUAAGGGACAUUUGGUUGCUUCCACGUGGUAGCUUUGUGAAGAAUCUUGUCAUCAGGGAAGACACAAAGAAGCUGGGCAUGAUGGCCAAUGUUAGAGGGUCACACUACUGCUUUCUGCCUCUGAUCUGAUUGAGUCACAGCUGAGUUGUGGCACCAGGACUCUUGGCUAUACUCAGUUCUCUCAGUUUGACUGAGUACUCUGGGUUCACAGAUGUGACUGCCUGAUGUUCUGCCUGCCUACCUUUGCUCUCUGCUGGCAAAUGCAUCUCCCCUGCUCCACCCAUC